UACAGAGGGUGCAAGCGUUGUUCGGAAUUAUUGGGCGUAAAGGGCGCGUAGGCGGUGCCACAAGUCACCUGUGAAAACUCAGGGCUCAACCCGGAGACGCCAUCUGAUACUGCGGUGACUGGAGUCUGGUAGGGGAACACGGAAUUCCUGGUGUAGCGGUGAAAUGCGCAGAUAUCAGGAGGAACACCGAUGGCGAAGGCAGUGUUCUGGGCCAGUACUGACGCUGAGACGCGAAAGCCAGGGGAGCAAACGGG
rnacentral:rRNA from 1 species